ACUCAAAACUUGUAGCCUACCGCUUACGACCACAGAUGAUCCGCAUAAAAUAUCUACAUAUAUCAUAUCUUAGAUCGCAAAAGUAGCUAAAAAGAAAUUUGCAUCUAAAGCCUUGGAGGCCCAAACCACACUUCGGCAGGACCUCUCACUCCGCCCCUCGGUCAACAUUAGAUCUGCUCUAAAGUGCGGCAGGUGCGUGGAGAGAUCAGCACCUUUACAGCUGCGGGAAGAGGAGAGGGGGCAUGAUUUUUGUCGACUAUAAAAACCCGUCACUGGCCAGGCUGAUUCAUUGGAUCUGCAGGUACGGAAACGAGCAUGUCGACUGAGUGAGGCCUUCCACCAGAACAACUUGGAUGUGAAACUACAGAGGUGAGCAAGACAGGUUAUGGGCAGGGAACACGCCUGAAAAAUGAGAUCAAAGAAAAGCUACGGAUUCCCAUUUUUGACACUAUUUUCUACAGUAAUUUUGGAGUUUAUCACCAAUGCACCCCCAGAGCCUCAAUGGAUAAACUGCACUUGCUUUACGUUGAGCCACACGCACAAUACAUGUGGAUUCAGUUUUGUUCGUUCGGCUCGCGUUAAGCAAGUGCAGAACUUCCUCGGUACCAAACUUCAGUGACAUUUUUGGAUUGAAAGCAAGAGCAACUGCUAUAAUGGAAAAUAAAUGGAAAAUAAGAAUCCAAACCACACACAGGCGAUGUGAGAGAUUCGCUAACAAAUGAAUGAGCUGCAACUUAUCUGUCUUCUGCAAUGGUCAUGAUUUACAAUGUCACCUGUUAUCCAACAUGUUUGUUGAGAGAUGCACUUCCUCUCUCCUGUGCUGUUUAUAAAUGAGGGUGAAGUUCUCAUGCUGCAGUGAUGUAACGGCAAAAUAAAGUUCUUAACUCCUCA